AGCCCCUCCCCCCCAGGACAAACUGAGCUGAGCGGAUGUGCUGCUGCUGAAGAUUUACAGAGGUUACAGUUAUAAAAUAUUUAUUUUGGGGAAGUAAAGUCAGUUUACAUGACCGAAGAGCUUCACAUGGAGCAGGAGACGCGACGUAUUCAGUUCCUGACGACGUUUUUGGCGGGAUUUUAAUAUUCCUGGAAACCGACUGGAACAGACAUCCAACCUGGAGGACAUCAGCUGGUCCUCCACAGGGAGGAUCGUCCAAUCAUCUUGAAGAACCCAGCGGUGUGGUAGACUGGGAUUGAAGCAGUGCGAGUCUGACCUGACAGAGCUGCAGGUCAGAGGAAGAGGAGGGAGGAGGAGGAAGGAGCGUCGGGCUCAGAGCAAGAAGUGGAAGACGUGUCAGGACGGAGCGGCGAGGGAAAAUAAACAGAUGGAGCUUUGAGGAUAUUCUAUCUGAAGCUUAGUCCUGUUGAGUAUAAAUACGGUGGCUGGUAAGCCAUGUAAAUAGGCCUGUGUUUACCUGUCUGCACAGCCCAAAUUAAUCACCCAUGCCGCCACGAGCCGCGCGGAGCGCAGAGCAGGAGGGGGUGGCAGCAGUGAUGGAGCACCGCAGGGACGGGCUGGAGACCUUUCAGUUUCACAUCUACUGGGAUCCUGCAGCCACUUCAGCCAUGUGGAAGAAUUUGGAUAUUUUAGAGAAAGCACAAACAGCCCUGCAGUCUGAUCUUUCGCCGCUGCUGGACGACAGAACGAUGCGCCUGCUGGCUGGGCUCAGACGCAGUCAGAGGAACGGCCUCGGCAUUUCCCGAUUCUCCUUUGUGAUUUGAUCCUGAUGCCGUUGCUUUCAGUCGUCAGGAUCCAGCCGGGAUCAGAAGGGUUUUCAGGUGCAGCAGACGAGAGCGGAGCUGCGUCUGGAUUAGCGGUCUGCAGGAUCGGCUGGAAACCAGGCUGAUUAAAAUGCCGUUGCUCAUACCUGGAACGAUUAAAGAAGACGUUUUUUAACCUUUUC